CUACGGGUGGCACCAGUGAGGAAUAUUGCACAAUGGGGGGAACCCUGAUGCAGCAACGCCGCGUGGAGGAUGACGCAUUUCGGUGUGUAAACUCCUUUUAUAUGUCAAGAAAAUGACGGUAGCAUAUGAAUAAGCACCGGCUAACUCCGUGCCAGCAGCCGCGGUAAUACGGAGGGUGCAAGCGUUACUCGGAAUCACUGGGCGUAAAGGACGCGUAGGCGGGUUGGAAAGUCAGGUGUGAAAUCCUACAGCUUAACUGUAGAACUGCACUUGAAACUUCUAAUCUAGAGUAUGGGAGGGGUGAUGGAAUUAGUGGUGUAGGGGUAAAAUACGUAGAUAUCACGAGGAAUACCUAAAGCGAAGGCGAUCUCCUGGAACAUUACUGACGCUAAGGCGUGAAAGCGUGGGGAGCAAACAGGAUUAGAUACCCGUGUAGUC
rnacentral:rRNA from 1 species